rnacentral:rRNA from 1 species
AUUGAACGCUGGCGGAAUGCUUUACACAUGCAAGUCGAACGGCAGCACGGGGGCAACCCUGGUGGCGAGUGGCGAACGGGUGAGUAAUACAUCGGAACGUGCCCGGUCGUGGGGGAUAACGUAGCGAAAGUUACGCUAAUACCGCAUACGAUCUGAGGAUGAAAGCGGGGGACCUUCGGGCCUCGCGCGAUCGGAGCGGCCGAUGUCAGAUUAGGUAGUUGGUGGGGUAAAGGCCUACCAAGCCGACGAUCUGUAGCUGGUCUGAGAGAACGACCAGCCACACUGGGACUGAGACACGGCCCAGACUCCUACGGUAGGCAGCAGUGGGGAAUUUUGGACAAUGGGCGCAAGCCUGAUCCAGCCAUUCCGCGUGCAGGACGAAGGCCUUCGGUUUGUAAACUGCUUUUGUAUGGAACGAAAAGGCUCUGGCUAAUACCUGGGGCUCAUGACGGUACCGUAAGAAUAAGCACCGGCUAACUACGUG